UAUUCAUAAUAUCGACUCACCAACCUUCAUUCCGCACGAGGGAUUGCUGAUGCCUGCGGUGACCUAGCCCUCGGGAGAGCCAAGCCACGUGGGUUGGCCCACGUCCACACCGUUCCCGCCACAGGUGGGCGGUGGUGCGAUGCAGCCGCAGGAAAGGGGUGGCUCCAACAGAGGUGUAGACGCGUGCUGGCCGGCGUGGACGGUGCAUGGCGUCCCUUGGGCCUGCGGGGUGCAAGCAGGGAGCUGAAGGUGGGCAAGUCCGCAGACCCGCUGACCCAGGGAGAGGGCGAUCGCGGGCGUGGGGAGGACCUGUACGCUGCUGCCUGCAGACAGAGGUUCUCCCUCCAUCGCCACCUUUCACCAUAAAUUCCAGGAACUGACUUGGCAGUGCCCGAGAAGACAUUCCCCGGAUGUCUCAAGGUCACUCCCCACCACCACAUAAUCUUUUCUUUAGCAAAAGUGUUCUAAAACCCAAGACAUAAGCUCUGAAAGGAAAAUAUCAGACCCCAAGGUUGCCGCCGUAAUAUCAAAUGCCCGUGCAGUUAAAGGAAGAUGAAGACCCUUCUGGCGUAUGGGAGUGGUUGAGAGAAGGAGACAGAAGGAAUGCCGGGCUCUACUCUGUGAACCUAAGGCUGGAGUGACAAGGGUGCCUGGGCCACAGACCUCUCAUCACACGGCACGAAGCCCUGUAUGUUCACAUGGUGGUGGCUGACAUGAACAGAAGAAGCAAAAAUAUUCUAGGCCUGGAACAGGCAGCUAAAUGAAACCAGUCAACACGUUCAACAUUUUGCCAGGAACUCAUCCUGCAAGGGCUAUAAAUUCAUUAGAAGAAAAAAAUAUAUUUAAUCUUCUAAGUUACUGCGGGCCGAUUGCUUUUAACUACACGACACAUGUUGCCAUUUUUCUGGCCAGCUGUAGCAAUUUUCUCACCUUUUUUUUUUUUUUUUUUUCCAGCAACCACUAAAGUUUACUCACCCUUUUUCUAGUUUCUGCUCCUGGAUUCUUAAUGUUUUUUUAGUCUCUGCCCAGUUCAGAGACCUGAAGCCACAUGUUUCAGGGUGUUUUGUUUUGUUUUAUAACAACUCAGUUUUAGAUACUAAUUUCUAUGUCAGUUUUUACUGUGUACCUAGCCACUUCUAAUCUCAGUUAGUAAAAACAAUAAUCAUGUAUUAUUUUGGAGGUUGAUCCUAGGCAGUCUUACUUGUGGUUCCUGGUCAGCGGGCAGGCAGUGACCUCACAUAUCUGGUGGUUAGCUGGCUUUCAUAUGGGUACUGAGCCACACAUCAUCAUCCAGCAGCCUAACACAGGCUUUUUUAUAUGCCAGUGGCUGAUGGGUUCCCAAGAGCAGCAAGGGAACAAGCCCCAACAUACAACUACUUUUUAAGUCUCUGCUUGUAUAAUUUUCCCCACUAUCUAUUUGUCUACAUGGUCAAGUCCAGAUUCAAGAGACAGAAGAAUCCACUUUACCUCUUCAUGGGAGUGGCUGCCAUAGUCACACUGCAAAGGGGACAUGCAUACAGGGAUGAAUAGAAUUUGUGGCCAUUUCUGCACUUUUGUA